rnacentral:rRNA from 1 species
AAUGAACGCUGGCGGCAUGCCUAACACAUGCAAGUCGAACGAAGGCUUCGGCCUUAGUGGCGCACGGGUGCGUAACGCGUGGGAAUCUGCCCUUGUGUUCGGAAUAACAGUUAGAAAUGACUGCUAAUACCGGUUGAUGUCGUAAGACCAAAGAUUUAUCGCCCAAGGAUGAGCCCGCGUAGGAUUAGCUAGUUGGUGGGGUAAAGGCCUACCAAGGCGACGAUCCUUAGCUGGUAUGAGAGGAUGAUCAGCCACACUGGGAAUGGGACAAGGCCCAGACUCCUACGGGAGGCAGCAGUGGGGAAAAUAGGACAAUGGGCGAAAGACUGAACCAGCAAUGCCGCGGGAGUGAUGAAGGGCUUAGGGUUGUAAAGCUCUUUUACCCGGGAUGAUAAGGACAGUACCGGGAGAAUAAGCUCCGGCUAACUGCGU